GCUCCUUAAACAUAAGAUGCUAGCUUAGUCGGUAGUACAUGAGACGCUUAAUCUCAAGGUUGCAGGUUCGAGCCCCACGUUGGGCA